AUGAACGCUGGCGGCGUGCCUAAUACAUGCAAGUCGAGCGAACAGACGAGGAGCUUGCUCCUCUGACGUUAGCGGCGGACGGGUGAGUAACACGUGGAUAACCUACCUAUAAGACUGGGAUAACUUCGGGAAACCGGAGCUAAUACCGGAUAAUAUAUUGAACCGCAUGGUUCAAUAGUGAAAGACGGUUUUGCUGUCACUUAUAGAUGGAUCCGCGCCGCAUUAGCUAGUUGGUAAGGUAACGGCUUACCAAGGCGACGAUGCGUAGCCGACCUGAGAGGGUGAUCGGCCACACAGGAACUGAGACACGGUCCAGACUCCUACGGGAGGCAGCAGUAGGGAAUCUUCCGCAAUGGGCGAAAGCCUGACGGAGCAACGCCGCGUGAGUGAUGAAGGUCUUCGGAUCGUAAAACUCUGUUAUUAGGGAAGAACAAAUGUGUAAGUAACUAUGCACGUCUUGACGGUACCUAAUCAGAAAGCCACGGCUAACUACGUG
rnacentral:rRNA from 1 species